CGCACUGCAGCGCUCCUUGGAGAGGCUGUGGGCUUUGGGCUUCAGCGCAGAAGCUGCGAGUGUAGCAGGUUUCGUACCUGGUGUUCCUUGCCGUUAAUUCAGGACUGCUGCCACCAGGCACGUCCCUGGGUCCCGCCGCUCCCGCCGCACUCUCGGCACUGCUAGCAGUAAGAAAUUUUGCUACGACACUCGCUUCAGCAAGAGAUCUGCUUUCUUAGAACCCUAGCUGUCUGACUUUGAACCUGAGGAUGACUGCACUUACCCCAUGUCUCUGCUCAAGUGCUGGGAUUACAGGUCUGUGUGUGCUGUGUUCCUGUAGUGCCCUACAAUACCAGAAGAACAUACAGAGUCCCCUGGAACUGGAGCUACAAUGAUGCUGUUAGAAAAUAUGCUGCUUGUGAUGACAUACAUUGAGCCCUUCGAUCCAGUGAGGUUAUUAAAGAAUGUAGUUUUGAAAUCAUGGUAAAAUCUGGGUUGCUGGGAAGCCAGAAUUUUGUCUUUGGUGAAGAUAAACUUUUUUAAGAGCUGCCCCAUAGACUGACCUGUUCAAAAUUCACCAGCACACCAGGAUAUCUGUUUCCAUGGACACCUUUGGGAGGCAGUUGGAAAGCCUUGAUUUGGCAGGGUCCCUGGAGCCCAGGUUAACCUGGAACUUUAAUCCAGCAUGGCCUCAAAGUUGGCAAUCCCUUACUACGCCAUCCGAGUACUAGGAUUACAGGGUACUUGCUUUUACAGCCGAUCCUACAACUUGAAAUCAGUUGGCUUCUGAAUUUCUCCCCAGGAAAAUGAAGAUCAAGAACGCACCUCGACACAGCAGGGAUUCUGAGAAGUAAUGCAUCCGUAAAUAUCUCAGACGGAGACAUGGACAAAGGAACAGGAACCCCUCCAAAGUAACUGCUUAUCUUAGUGACUGUUAAACUGCCUGCCUUUUGCCGGACCCCUCCAGGGGUUUCAGUUGCAAAUGGCUGCAGGAUCCAGAUGGGUACAUGUGUGAGAUGGUUCCUGGUUGAACCACAGUGAUCAUUGAGUAAAAGCUUCAUCCUUGCAAUAUGGGGUCUGCUCUUAUGGUUGGUAUUCAGUUCAUCCUUUUCAACUUUGCCUAGCUUUCUCCUAAACUGCAUUUAUUCCCCCCCCCCAAUAUAAAAGCAAAGCGCCUUUAUUUUCUUUUCUUUUUAUUUUAUUUUAAUUUAAUUUUUCUAUUACCAGCUUGAUACAGUACAAAUUCUUAUCCUUAUAGUGAAAUGUUUCACUGAGGCUUGCCCAGUGAUUGAGUAAAACUAAAACUUAUAAGCCACAGUCAUCCUAGGGUCGGUCCCUCCUGCUUUGUAGCCCCUUAACUACAUUUAUAGGUAGGCUUCCACAGUCCUAUCUACCAACUACUAAACUCAUGUUUCCUUUUUCUUAUGCUUGCUUAAUUUCUAUUACCCCAUGAGAUAUCUUUCUCUUAAUGUAUGUGACAAAGAGAAUACAUGUUAACCAACCCUUUCAGCAUCCUACAGCGAGUCAUAUAUUCACCUUUUUUCUAUUGGGGAAAAUCAGCUGUGUUUGCAGACCUUCAGAGUGACAUUGUGGAUGGGGGAAUGAAGGCCUGGGUGAUACAUAUGAGGGUUAGGGAGUAUGUUAGUUACUCUUCUAGGACUGUGAACAAAAAUGCCAUGCCCCAGAGCAGAUUGAGGAGAGCAGGCUUUCUUUUGCUUUUAGCUCCAGAAGGACAUUUUCCACAUUGCCAGGGCAGGGAAUACCCAGCAUCGGGCAGGGAGGCAUGGCUUUAGGAUCAGCAGGCAGAACUAGAACAGGAAGUGAGGCAUGCUAGAAAACCGUCAUCUUACCCCUAGUGGCAUCCCUCUAGAGAGAGCCCACUCCUGAAGGGUCGCAUAACAUUCUCAGAAGGUGCCACCAACUGAGGACCAAGUGUUCAAAUACAGAACUGUACUUGGACAGUGCUCUUUCAAACCACCCUGGAGGGUAAAACCUGCAUCUUGGAGAAACAUGGUAACUUUAGAUUAAAGGAACUACCUGUUCACUGAUGAAUGCUGAGUUAUGAAGGAAAGAACUUAAGAACGAAACCUCUCCUUUUCAGACAUGGGCUGUGAGGAGACCGCUAUCCAGGGACAUGGUUUCAGAGAUGGAGCUGCGUAAGGGGAACUGCAAAGUAUGGAUUAGGAACACUUUCUAUGUACUCUUUAGGCAGGCACAAAGGCUAGAGUAUAUAGUUGAUAUGAGAGAAUAGGGCACCUAUCUAGUGAUUACAGGGAAAAAAUACCGUUUGGUUGCCUUAAUUGAGGGUGGCUAGCAAGAAAAGACUUGCACAGAAAUGCAUAAGUGGUCCUGGAAGGAUAUGAGGUCCGGAGUAGACUCUGCCUAAGAACUAUUCUGGAGGACAUUCAUGGUUUUCCUUGGUUUGAAACAAGAUCUAUCCAGGUAGUCCUGACUGUAAACUCCUACAUAGAUCCCCCAGGCCCCAAACUUGUAGCAGUCCUGCUUCUAUCUUCCAAUUUUUGUGAUCGUGGACAUACAUGGCCCAGCGAACGUUGCCCAAUCUGGAUGUUGACCUCUUGGGACAUAGAACAGUGGUAGAGCAUUUGCCAAGCAACAUGAGACGUGUAAGCUUCAAUCCCCACUAUGGCCAGGGGUGAUUACACAAUAUUUUAAUAGUGUGUACGUUCAUUAAUCAGAACAGGGUGGGUGAACGUUAACUGACAUCACCACCAAUAAAGAACAUUCUUGGAUCAGGAAACAUCCAAUUUAUUGCCUCACAUGCUAGUGUUUUUCUAUUGCUAUUGGAAAAUGCAGAGAAAUGGCAUUGAGGUUUUACAAGAAACAGACCUAUUAUGAAUGAGCACUGCAAGCAGACUUAUUUGCUGUGUAUCCCUGUUUCUCAUGCUUUUUUCUUCGUCCUCAACAUGGAGUCUUUUGGCCAAUGAGUUUCUGUCCCAGAACAGCACCCUUCGUUUUAAGUUAGACGAAAAAUAAAAGCAACAGGGUUGCCUAAAACCUCUGCUCACCAGGAAACCAGAGGCUUUUUUUCAGUUACAUGUCCCUCCUUUCUUGUGCAUUUGUGUGUGUACACCAUUCCUUCCCAGUGCUGCUGUCUUUACACAUGUAAAAUACAUAAAUCCUUAUACUAUGGUAGACUUCCUACACUUUUAGACCCCCAACAGUCAAAAAUCCCCAUUCUGUAGUGCAGUGUCAGAAGACAGGACUCUAAAGCUGUAUUUGGGUUUGAGCAAUAAAAUUCCACCUUUGCAUGAAUAUUGUGGGCAGUGGAUAUGAAAGUAGCUGCAAACUUUCAUUCACCAGUGAAAGCUGAAUUAAUCGUCAAUGCUAUACUAUCGAGUGCUCAUUAGUCUGAUAACACCUAUUUUGGCAACUAGAGAAGCUAUAUGCAAGUGUAAACUACAGCCACAGUAGUCCCUCUCUUUUUGCUUGGUCAUCGGGGACUAAAAUUUGUUUGGGGGUAAUUAUUGAGUAAAGUUUUAUUAGUAAAUCAUGGACAUUAGGAGAUUUGGUUAAUUCUCUUGUGGUGGGUGGAAUAGGACAUAGAUGUGUUAACUCUUCUGACUUUCAAAUAUUGUCCCACUGAACUCCUAGGAGACAUUUAACUCAAGCUUUAUGUCUUAUCUUGGAUCUUGCCUCUUCUUUCUUGUGUGUCCUAACAGAAUUUUUGUUCUUUUCCCCCACCCCGAUGUGUUUCAGGAAUCUCUUCCUUUGAAUCAAUAAAAAGCUCCAUUGUGGAUCAAAAUUCAGUGAAUGUUGGGAAUGGAAUCCAUGUUGCUCUCUGGAUGUAUCAAUGGGAGUGGUGCCCUAAGAUAAUGUAAAGGAAGGUUGUAACUUGCCCUGUCCAAACCACAAAUGCUUGACAUUUUUGGCAGAUAAUGGACCCGAAAGCUCUUAUCAAUGGAAGGAGUAAAAUUGGGAUCUCUUAUAUGUGUGAAUGAAUUUAGAAGGCAACUGUUUGUUUCCCCUUCGGAUACAAUGAGUGAAGAAAAUGUAGUGAAUGAGCUCUCUGUCUUCUGUGGAGCACAAUCCAUAGCUUUUCAGUAUCUUGUCACUUUUAAAUGUCACUGCUUUUAUGGAGAUUUCUGUUUACCGGAUUGGCAAACAGUAUGCUUUUAAUUGAGUCUGAUAUAAUGUUAAAAGGCUCAAGGAGCGGGGAUAGCACAAGAAGUGCUGAAUAGCUGAGUGAAAAUGUAGAAUGGGGGGACCGUGUCCAGGAAACAGUGUCCCGACCAUCCUCAGAGCUGCCAUAGCCGUACAAUGUCAGUCUGAAAUGCAUGAUGGCAGUUCCAAAAUAUGACGAACUGCUGCUGUGGAGAAGGAUUUUUAUAACGGUAUAUACUUGUUGUUCUAUAUUUUUAUUCUGGUAUUUUUUUCAUUUCAAAAUUUAAAAGUUAUAUUUCUAUGUCAUGUUCUUUGAUAAAUACAAUAUAAAGUCUACAUAGAGUAUGUACUUUACUGCAUUUAUUUCGAUACUACCCAGUUACAGUACUUUUGGGCCUUGCCCAUUUUUUUAUAGCAUAUAACAUUGUAUGUACAUUUGUAUGAAAAUAAAUUUCUACCAAUGUAUUCCUUUAUUUGAAGACUUCUUUGGGCAUUAUAAAGGUGCUUUUGACUUAUUCACAAUACAGUUGUAUAAAUAACAGUACUACCAGUAGUGAAUAAAUGCGAAUAUUUCUUUAAACAAUUAGAAUAUAACUUCUCUUAUUCUAAGGUUCUACUAAAUUCAUAAGUAUUGUGUCUUUUGAAAUUUUUAAUUUAUAAGUUCAGCAAAAGUUAUGUGUGUAGAUAUAUAUGUAGUAUAUGAUAUCUUUAGUUCAUGCAGAAUAUUUCUGUCACUUUAGGCAAUGGAGUUUGGUGUUUUACACAGAGGAUCUGUGUUGCCCUGCCUGACCUUGAAUUGUGUAGUAGAAUUGCAGAUACAUACAGUCAUACCCAGCAGUAGGAGGUCUUUUAUAUUCAUUCCCUCCUUACCUCUAUACAUGGGAACAACUGAUUUAUUCUAUAUACGUAGCUGAAAUUUUGGUUUCUAGAAGGUCAAAUAAGCAGAAUCCUACAAUGCAUAGAAUUCCGUGUCUGCUUUGACUUCCUAAAUGUAAAUUAGAUUCACCGUUGCUGUUACAUGCACCAUUAGAGCAAUUCCUUAUUGCCAAGUAUUGAGUUCAUUGUGUGGGAGGACUACAAUUUCAGUUGCAUUCUCUAGUUGUUGAACAUGUGUGAUAUUUCUACUUCUGAUGAUUAUGAGCAAAUUUCAGAAAGACGUAAGUAUAAGGUUUUUUAAGAUUUAUUUUAAUAAUCUUUAUUUAUGUGUAUGCACAUGAGUAGCAGGCCUGUGGAGGCUGGAUGUCAGAGGUACCAGGUUUUCCCUGGAGCUGCAAUUGCAGGCAGUUAGAAACUGCCUGACAGGGGUGCUGGAAAUCCAAAUAAGGUCCUCUACAAGGACACUAUGCCCUCCUAAACACUAAGUCAUCCCUCUCACCCUCUAGGUACAAGGUUUGGGUGGUAGCAAUGUUCAUUUCUGUGGUAAGAGUGGGGAUGAGUUCAAUUGUCUUUUCAGUUUUCAUGUAAGACAAUUGUAGUAGCUCUGCCUAUGGAAAUGUUAGGCAUUCGGGUUUGGUCUCACAGAUCCUUGAGGGCUUAAAGUAUUUGAGUUUCUUUUCUCUCUGAAUUCUCUACUCGAGUGUCCCUUGUUCCCCUUUUUAUUGGAUUGUUCCUUUUACUGUUGAACUUUGAGAUUUUUCAUUCAGUCUUAAUAAAAACUAUGUUAUGUGGAAA